rnacentral:rRNA from 1 species
AGCGAACGCUGGCGGCAGGCCUAACACAUGCAAGUCGAGCGCCCAGCAAUGGGAGCGGCAGACGGGAGAGUAACACGUGGGAACGUGCCUUUUGGUUCGGAAUAACUCAGGGAAACUUGAGCUAAUACCGGAUAAGCCCUUACGGGGAAAGAUUUAUUGCCAAAAGAGCGGCCCGCGUCCGAUUAGCUAGUUGGUGAGGUAAUGGCUCACCAAGGCGACGAUCGGUAGCUGGUCGAGAGGAUGACCAGCCUCAUUGGGACUGAGACACGGCCCAAACUCCUACGGGAGGCAGCAGUGGGGAAUAUUGGACAAUGGGCGCAAGCCUGAUCCAGCCAUGCCGCGUGAGUGAUGAAGGCC